rnacentral:rRNA from 1 species
AACGAACGCUGGCGGCAUGCCUAACACAUGCAAGUCGAACGAGACCUUCGGGUCUAGUGGCGCACGGGUGCGUAACGCGUGGGAACCUGCCCUUAGGUUCGGAAUAACUCCCCGAAAGGGGUGCUAAUACCGGAUAAUGUCUUCGGUCCAAAGAUUUAUCGCCUUUGGAUGGGCCCGCGUUGGAUUAGCUAGUUGGUAGGGUAAAAGCCUACCAAGGCGACGAUCCAUAGCUGGUCUGAGAGGAUGAUCAGCCACACUGGGACUGAGACACGGCCCAGACUCCUACGGGAGGCAGCAGUGGGGAAUAUUGGGCAAUGGGCGAAAGCCUGAUCCAGCAAUGCCGCGUGAGUGAUGAAGGCCUUAGGGUUGUAAAGCGCUUUUACCCGGGAUGAUAAUGACAGUACCGGGAGAAUAAGCUCCGGCUAACUCCGUG